GACGGACCCGCCCGGCCUCAGCGGGCGGCGGUCUCCUGCGCCGUCGGGCUCCCGAUCGACUCGGGGGCCCGGCC
rnacentral:tRNA from 1 species